UCCUGACAUGUCUGUGAAGUCGUCGGCGUGCGGCGAAGUGGCACUUUGCCCUGUGGGCAGUGCGUUUACAGCGACGACCGCGGGAGAGGGAGACGGAUAGAGGAGAGGUAAGGGGAGCUCCGCCUGUAGGGGGGGUGACUGAGGAGGCAGGCUCCCACCGUCAGAGCGGGAAUCCGGUGAGCCAUAACAAAGCAUCAGCAUAACCAGACGGGAUAUUCUGCAGGGAACUUGGAGCAUAUAGUCAUGGACUCAAAGUGCCAAUCAGCCUCCCCCCAGAAACACAUGAAGAACAGGUCCAAGUCUGCUGAGGAGAUCCAACAAGUCAAGAAGGCCUUUCAUACCCCUCAGAAAUCCCUUCCGGCAAGGUCUGACCAGGAGGAAGAUAAGGUGACAACAGAAAGCUCUGAUGCUCCUUUGUCCUUGUCAGAGGAGCCAAAAUGAUUUAGAGGACAGAGCCUCAGGACAUCGGCUGAUCACCAGGAAAACAUCAGUAUGCAUGUGUGUGCACACAAACUAGGACUACUGCAAGCUGCAUGCCGGCACAACCACCCUUUCCACCCCUGUCUCUGUGGCUGCUACACACACACACACACACACACAGAUACACACACGUACAGACCGACAUACAGACACAGACAGGCACACACACACACAGAUACACACAGACAGACAUACAAACACACACACGUACAG